UUUUUUAUGCCCAUUUUCUUCCUUCUUUGACUUUGUCUUUUCCUCUUUGACUCUGUGGCAGCUACUAAUUCUUAAGAUCAAAUUUUAUGAAUCUAUAAAUCUUGUUUUUGGUAGCAUGAUAAAGAUCGAUGCAUCAUGCAUUUCAUUCAUGAUAUUAUAUGUCCUUGUAUUUACUUACACACAUAUGUUAAAAAAUAGAUUAAUAUUUAAAGCAUCAGAUUAUUAGGUUAAGUAAAAUGAAUAAAGUUCUAAAUAAGUUGUUAUAGUCAACUACAAAAUAGUGAUGAACAAAAUAGAAACAGUGAUAAAUUUCCUCCUUAAGGCUUCUCUCAAUUGAAUACGAGACUUCCUCCUCCACUUUUAUUUCCUGCACAAAUGUAAAAGAAAUAAAUUUAAUCAGAUUUAAUUUUGUUUACAUACAUUUGAAAUUACAUAAAUGAUUUAUUUGUACAACGUUUCUUAUGUAUGAUACAUAAUAUGAUUUAUAGUUGCAGUAAAUACAUGAAAACAUGAUUAACAAUGUGUUGGAGGGUCCAAACCCAAUGCCUACUAGUUUUGAUGAAGCAAACCUUGGUCAUGACAAUGAUACAAGUGAACCAAGCAUUGAACAUUUACAUACCGACACAGAUGAAGAAUACAUUGUUCACAGCAAUGAAGAAAUUGAAGAAAGUGAGGAAAUGGAUGAGCAUAAUUACUCUUUUGAUGAAGAAAGUGAUGCAGAAAUUGACAUGGAUGAGCAUAAUUACUUGAUCAUAUGUGUGACAAUUAUAAGGUAGGUGCUACAACUUGUAAGAAUUGAAGAAAGUGAGAAUACAAUAACGGUGAGUAAGACAUAAAAAUACUAUGAAUCACCUUAAGCAAUAUUCACUCCUUAAAAUGCAUCAAUUUGAAUCACUAUUUUUUUUCUUAGUGUGAAAAGCAUAUAAAAUUGUAAGCAAAACAAUCAAUCUAGUAAUUCAACAAUUAGAAAUUCAGAAUACAAGCCACCAAAAGCAAUUAUAACAAGCAAAUAAGAAAAAGAUACUGACAUAUCAAUCAGAACCAUGGUGAAACGAAAACGCAGAGAAAGACGGUAGAUUGGAAUUGUCUUCAACUUUACGAGGAGGAAAAUCAUGGUGACGAAGAAAGCGAGGAAGAAUGAGCUUGGUAGUAUUGGGGACGAUGAGCAACAUAGCGAAAUGCAAAUGCUGGUUGGGAAAGGAGGAGGAGGAAUAUAGAAAGGGAAAGGAAGAAAAUCAGGGACAUAAGAAGUCUUGUAAUAAUGAAGGAAAGAGAAAAAGAGAUGACCGAAAGUUAUAGAUAAAGGUUAUUUUA
rnacentral:lncRNA from 1 species